rnacentral:rRNA from 1 species
UACAGAGGGUGCGAGCGUUAAUCGGAAUUAUUGGGCGUAAAGCGCAUGUAGGUGGCUAAGUAAGUCUGAUGUGAAAGCCCUGGGCUUAACCUGGGAAUAGCGUUGGAAACUGCAUAGCUAGAGUCGGACAGAGGGCGGUGGAAUUUCCUGGUGUAGCGGUGAAAUGCGCAGAUAUCAGGAGGAACACCAAUGGCGAAGGCAGCUCGCUGGGACGUGACUGACGCUGAGACGCGAAAGCGUGGGGAGCAAACAGG